GAUGAACGCUGGCGGCGUGCCUAAUACAUGCAAGUCGAGCGAACGGACGAGAAGCUUGCUUUUCUGAUGUUAGCGGCGGACGGGUGAGUAACACGUGGAUAACCUACCUAUAAGACUGGGAUAACUUCGGGAAACCGGAGCUAAUACCGGAUAAUAUUUUGAACCGCAUGGUUCAAAAGUGAAAGACGGUCUUGCUGUCACUUAUAGAUGGAUCCGCGCUGCAUUAGCUAGUUGGUAAGGUAACGGCUUACCAAGGCAACGAUGCAUAGCCGACCUGAGAGGGUGAUCGGCCACGCUGGAACUGAGACACGGUCCGGACUCCUACGGGAGGCAGCAGUAGGGAAUCUUCCGCAAUGGGCGAAAGCCUGACGGUGUAAUGCCGCGUGAGUGAUGAAGGUCUUCUGAUCGUAAAACUCUGUUAUUAGGGAAGAACAUAUGUGUAAGUAACUGUGCACAUCUUGACGGUACCUAAUCAGAAAGCCACGGCUAACUACGUG
rnacentral:rRNA from 1 species